GUCCUUGCCUAGUUAGCACAUAUACUACAGUUGAAAUGAUGCAGAAAAGAUACUAUAGCCCCCAUGCAAGGAUGACAUACAAAUUCGUAAUGUGUUUUAAAUUUUU